rnacentral:rRNA from 1 species
GACGAACGCUGGCGGCGUGCUUAACACAUGCAAGUAGAACGGAAAGGCCCUGCUUUUGUGGGGUGCUCGAGUGGCGAACGGGUGAGUAACACGUGAGUAACCUGCCCUUGACUUUGGGAUAACUUCAGGAAACUGGGGCUAAUACCGGAUAGGAGCUCCUGCUGCAUGGUGGGGGUUGGAAAGUUUCGGCGGUUGGGGAUGGACUCGCGGCUUAUCAGCUUGUUGGUGGGGUAGUGGCUUACCAAGGCUUUGACGGGUAGCCGGCCUGAGAGGGUGACCGGCCACAUUGGGACUGAGAUACGGCCCAGACUCCUACGGGAGGCAGCAGUGGGGAAUAUUGCACAAUGGGCGGAAGCCUGAUGCAGCAACGCCGCGUGCGGGAUGACGGCCUUCGGGUUGUAAACCGCUUUCGCCUGUGACGAAGCGUGAGUGACGGUAAUAGGUAAAGAAGCACCGGCUAACUACGUG